UGUUGUGCAAUAAAGGUUAAAUAAAUAAAUAAAUAAAUAUUUUUACUUAAAUUGAAUAUUUACGAAAUUGUUUUUUGCCUGGGUUUUUAAUGAAAAUGUUAUUCUUGUCAUUUAGUAUCGUCGUAGGUAUAUUUACCGACUAGCUCUUAUAAUGGUCUUUAAAAUAUUACGUACAUGAUAUAUGCCCAU